rnacentral:lncRNA from 1 species
UUUGUUUGCAGAUAUAUAGAAACUUCAAGAACUGAUCAUAAUAUGAUUGUCUACAUCUAUAUAUGUAUAUCAUAUUCACAUUUUUGCUGAUAGUUGGUGGAAUUAUAUAUAGUUUGAAUAUGAAAAGAUAAACCAAUCAUGGAGUCGUAGCUAGCGUAAGCAUGCUGCCUGUGCAGUGCAUGCUUCAUUAUAUUCGUGGCUACAUCAUCAACAACUUCAGGUCAUGCCUCCAUCCUAUGUGGUCCAUUUAUCAACGUACCUUAUUCCUUUACUAUUAUACUUUGUUCUUUUCCUUCUAUUUAAAAUCCGAAAAUUAGAUUAUGCUUCUAUUAUAUGUGUAUAAGUCUGUAACAUUAAUUAAUAAAAGCUAACAAUCAAAUUCCUUGCUUUUUACUGAAAAACAGAAUAUAUCGUCUGAACCUGACUGGGGUACUUGGAAACAAAGUGAUGAUUGAAGUAUGAAGUUUAGGUCUCUCAAGACAGAAGGUACAUAAUUAAAGUGGUCAGCUUGUUUGAUCCAAGAAGAUUACAUUGUCAUUUUCUUUUUUCCCAAAAUAAUUGUAGUAAUUUUCAGUUUUGAAAUCUCCCAAAUUAUGUAUAAUAUUCCCUUUUAAGCAAAUAUUCAAGUAAAACUCACCUAUUUGAUCUAUGAACUCGCUACCAAUUCCUUCUAAUUAUCGGUAGUUGAUAAAUUUACUAUAAUGACUUUUGCUUUCUAGUUCUACUUUACUACUUACUUGAACUUUUGAUCGGGACUUUCAGUUAUUGUCACACGAACUUUUGCUAGGAUUAAUAUUCACACAAAGAUACCAAAAUUAAUAAGAGCACAAAAAUUAACAUGGUUCAUAUAAUCAUCGUAAUUGUGUUAAUC